UUUAAUUACAAGUCAAUUGUUUUGCUAUUGGGUCUGAAAAUUGCUUUGAUUUUUCUUUGAAUUUUUGGCCUUGGAAUCCAAUGAAACAGCUCUAAAAUCCCAACUGAGAGAGCUACUUAAGCUCAUUGUGAAUUAUUUUUGAUGUUAUUUGAAUUAGUGUUUGUGGGUAUUUGACUGCUUACUGGAUAUGUUCAUAAGAAGUUCAAUCAGCAAUAUAAAGCUACAAUUGGGGCUGAUUUUGUCACCAAAGAACUACAAUUUGAUGACAGGCUUGUCACUUUACAAAUAUAGGACACAGCUGGGCAGGAGAGGCUUCAAAGUCUCGGCGUUGCCUUUUAUAAAGUGACAGAUUGUUGUAUUCUUGUAUACGAUGUUAAUGUCAUGAAAUCAUUUGAUACUCUUAACAAUUGGCAUGAAGAAUUUCUCAAACAGGUGGCAAGCGAUCGAUUAUGCUCGGUUGAAUCACAGUACGAUUACAUUCUUCAAUUGCUCCAAACCAGAGACCGCAGCUUCUCGCUGGAGUCGAGUCAGGUUGAAUGCUUCCAAGGUCAUCUGCUUCUUCCUCUUCUUCUAAAUUUUUUCCCCAAUUCAGUGUAAUUUCUAAAAAUAAUUAUAAAAUCAUCUAUGGUAAACUUUUACAUCAUUAAUAACCAAACUCUUUUUAAAAAUUUUCAUGAAUCUGUAAUAAUUUUCUUAAAAUACCAAUUAAUCUAAUAAU